rnacentral:rRNA from 1 species
AUGGCGGACGACAUGGAGAGGAUCUUCAAGAGGUUCGACACGAACGGCGACGGGAAGAUCUCGCUGUCUGAGCUGACGGAUGCGCUGCGGACGCUGGGGUCGACCUCCGCGGACGAGGUGCAGCGCAUGAUGGCGGAGAUCGACACCGAUGGUGACGGCUUCAUCGACUUCAGCGAGUUCAUCUCCUUCUGCAACGCCAACCCGGGGCUCAUGAAGGACGUCGCCAAGGUCUUCUGA